AUACGGAGGGUGCAAGCGUUACUCGGAAUCACUGGGCGUAAAGCGCGCGCAGGCGGCUUGGUAAGUUGGAUGUGAAAGCCUACGGCUCAACCGUAGAACUGCAUCCAAAACUGUCAAGCUAGAGUGUGGGAGAGGAAGAUGGAAUUAGUUGUGUAGGGGUAAAAUCCGUAGAGAUAACUAGGAAUACCAAAAGCGAAGGCAAUCUUCUGGAACACUACUGACGCUGAGGCGCGAAAGCGUGGGGAGCAAACGGGAUUAGAUACCCCAGUAGUCC
rnacentral:rRNA from 1 species